CUCCCAAAUCUCCUGUUGAAGUGUAAUCCCCACCUCCAGCACUGGGGAUUACAUUUCAACAUGAGAUUUGGAUGAGAA
rfam:Gorilla gorilla gorilla genomic chromosome, chr13, whole genome shotgun sequence